GACGUAGGGGGCAAGCGUUGUCCGGAUUUAUUGGGCGUAAAGAGCUCGUAGGCGGCUCAGAAAGUCGGGUGUGAAACCUCCAGGCUCAACCUGGAGACGCCACCUGAUACUGCUGUGGCUAGAGUCCGGUAGGGGAGCACGGAAUUCCCGGUGAGCGGUGAAAUGCGCAGAUAUCAGGAGGAACACCGGUGGCGAAGGCGGGUCUCGUGGGCCGUAACUGGACGCUGAGGAGCGAAGCAUGGGGAGCGAACAGG
rnacentral:rRNA from 1 species